rnacentral:lncRNA from 1 species
GUCACAGGCAGGAAAAUAAGCAAGUGGAUACUGCUAGGCUUGAAGUAUCUAGACCACUACCAUGGCUCUAAUAAACAGGACUGGCCUAGGCUAAUGGGCUAGAUGACUUCAAUAAAGCAAAGUGGGAAAUGUCUCAAAAACAUUCUUACUCUUCCCACUCAAACGAUAUAAGAGGUGCAUAUUCAAUGAGCAGCAGUAAAGCCCUUCUAAAAUGGGUAUUCCUACGCGUAAGGAAGAGAAAAACAGAAUGUGAAAGAGACAGAACAUGUGCCCAAGCCAAAUAAAAUACAGUCUGCAGGCUAGUGGUUUGAACACUGGAUGAAAAUAUAUUCUUAUCCUGGAACAAAAGAGAUGGUACGGAAAUCACAAAUUUUAAAUGUUAUUAGGCCAAUCUAAUGGCCUUUGGCAAG